CAAUAGCGUAUAUUUAAGUUGCUGCAGUUAAAAAGCUCGUAGUUGGAUUUCGGGUGGGAAUGGCCGGUCCGCCGUUUCGGUGUGCACUUGCUACGCCCACCUUGCUGCCGGGGACGUGCUCUUGAGUUCACGCUCGGGACACGGAGUCGGCGAGGUUACUUUGAGUAAAUUAGAGUGUUCAAAGCAGGCCUACGCUCUGAAUACAUUAGCAUGGAAUAACACGAUAGGACUCUGGCCUAUCUUGUUGGUCUGUAGGACCGGAGUAAUGAUUAAGAGGGACAGUCGGGGGCAUUCGUAUUUCAUUGUCAGAGGUGAAAUUCUUGGAUUUAUGAAAGACGAACUACUGCGAAAGCAUUUGCCAAGGACGUUUUCAUUAA
rnacentral:rRNA from 1 species